CAAAGGUGUCUGAACUGUGUCUUCUUGAAACAUACAACAACUGCUCCCUUUUUCAAUUCCUCCCACCCAAACAUUACAGCAGUAAUGCUAGUGAGAAAUAAUCCUUCCUCCGUAUUAAGUGACACAAGUGCUAUUGUUUACACAAUGAGAGAAUCUAGGAAGACAACAGAUGUAUGUUUAGAGGGAUAAUGCAUGAAAAACGAGUUCUGCCUUUUCAGGGAGCUGAGCCUUGCAAAGAAAGAUGACAGAUACAUGUGUUUGGAGACAGACUCUAGAGCUGGCUGGAUUUGCUUAUCAUUUGUCAUCAAUGCAGAGACGUGCAGCAGAAAGAACUGUAACAGCAUAAGCUGGAACAUAUGCUCCUGUCCACAGCUGUGGCACAAAUCCUGAUGCUCACUGCAUGCUUCAGGUACCACUCCAGAGAUUACAAAGGCAACAGGAGACAGAACAUGGUCCUGGGGGUAAAGAAAGAAAUAAAAUGCAGACAUGAACCAGCUUGUUGUCAAGACAUCUUGGGCUCGACCUCAUCUCCCUUAGGAACAAGAUGACCAGCACUCAAGCAGAAAAUGAGGAGCACCAUCAUUACAACUCGCCAGCAGUGGAGUUUAUAGAUACUUCAAUCCAGACAAGUGAGCUGCUACUUCUUUAGGAGACACAGAAAGGGGAAAAGAAAUCUGAUAGCCACCCCAGAAGUAAAUGUACUGCAUGUGGUCCAGCUCCUGGGAAGUGGUGGGAGACUGUGCAGGAGAGGUGUCAUAUCACUGUGAUUUGUUCUCAAACUCAACAUAUUCUUGUUACUAGAAGUGACAAGAGGAGCAAAGUACUCCAGAGAAGAUAAGAUGGUUUGUUUCUUUUCCUCUUUGAUGAGUUGUAAAAUGCAAACUAUGGGUAAGCUAUGAUAAUGUUGGUGAACUGUAUCUGUUGCAAAACAAAUAUGGCCCCUGCAGCACAGUUGCAGUAGGAAUGGAAUGAUAGGCAAUGAGGAAUGAUUCUUGUUGAUAUUGGGUGUCUGAAAGCAGUUUUGUGUUUAUGACCACUUCAGCUCUGGUAGAGCAGCCAUCUAAUGCCCUUAGCCUGUGUGAACAGAUACAUGGAGUGGCUAUUAAAUUGGCUCUUUCCAAGUAAGGUCUGGAUAGUAAAGCUGAGCACCUCUGUGGAGUCUCCCAGAUCUAACCUAUUCAGCAUUCUGCCCAGAGACCCAGCCUAAGCUCACGGAGUCAUGAAGCAGCUAUGGUCCUGGAAAACAGGCCAUUAGCCAUAUUUUAUCACUCCCAGGAUCUACAGCUCUCCUUUUGCCACUGGCUAAGGGGGUGAGAAAGGGAUGGGUGGUAUUUUAAACAGCAGUAGUAAAAAUCAAUGUUGAGGAUUCACUCCGGUCCUGCUUUUAAGUUCGUGGUUGUUAACCUACAACCUCUUCUUCUGCAGCUUGAGGGAACCCACCCCAGCACAUUUUGGCUCAU